UCUCAUACAGGCGGAAUAUGGACGAAAUGGAGAGCGGAGUUGUCGCUUACAUGAGACAAUUCUGACAUUUCGGAUAGUGACUCUCGAAAGCCCUUGA
rnacentral:pre_miRNA from 1 species